UACGGGGGGGGUAAGCGUUGUUCGGAAUUACUGGGCGUAAAGGGCGCGUAGGCGGCCUGCUAAGUCGAACGUGAAAUCCCCGGGCUCAACCCGGGAACUGCGUCCGAUACUGGCAGGCUUGAAUCCGGGAGAGGGAUGUGGAAUUCCAGGUGUAGCGGUGAAAUGCGUAGAUAUCUGGAGGAACACCGGUGGCGAAGGCGGCAUCCUGGACCGGUAUUGACGCUGAUGCGCGAAAGCCAGGGGAGCAAACGGG
rnacentral:rRNA from 1 species